CCUACGGGAGGCAGCAGUGAGGAAUCUUCCACAAUGGGCGAAAGCCUGAUGGAGCAACGCCGCGUGCAGGAUGAAGGCCUUCGGGUUGUAAACUGCUUUUAUAAGUGAGGAAUAUGACGGUAACUUAUGAAUAAGGAUCGGCUAACUACGUGCCAGCAGCCGCGGUCAUACGUAGGAUCCGAGCGUUAUCCGGAGUGACUGGGCGUAAAGAGUUGCGUAGGCGGUUUGUUAAGCGAAUAGUGAAACCUGGUGGCUCAACCAUACAGACUAUUGUUCGAACUGGCAAACUCGAGAGUGGUAGAGGUCACUGGAAUUUCUUGUGUAGGAGUGAAAUCCGUAGAUAUAAGAAGGAACACCAAUGGCGUAGGCAGGUGACUAGACCAUUUCUGACGCUAAGGCACGAAAGCGUGGGGAGCGAACCGGAUUAGAUACCCUGGUAGUC
rnacentral:rRNA from 1 species